UACGUAGGGUGCGAGCGUUGUCCGGAAUUAUUGGGCGUAAAGAGCUCGUAGGCGGUUUGUCGCGUCUGCCGUGAAAGUCCGGGGCUCAACUCCGGAUCUGCGGUGCGUACGGGCAGACUAGAGUGAUGUAGGGGAGACUGGAAUUCCUGGUGUAGCGGUGAAAUGCGCAGAUAUCAGGAGGAACCCCGAUGGCGAAGGCAGGUCUCUGGGCAUUAACUGACGCUGAGGAGCGAAAGCAUGGGGGGCGAACAGG
rnacentral:rRNA from 1 species